rnacentral:rRNA from 1 species
GACGAACACUGGCGGCGUGCUUAACACAUGCAAGUCGAACGAGGUCCAUGAAGUAGCAAUACUUCGGAAGACCUAGUGGCGAACGGGUGCGUAACACGUGAGGAACUUGUCCCGGUCUCUGGGAUAACAGUUGGAAACGACUGCUAAUACCGGAUGACGUCGGAGCGUCGCAUGGCGCGCUGACGAAAGGGUUACCGGAGCGGGAGAGCCUCGCGGCCUAUCAGCUUGUUGGCGGGGUAAUGGCCCACCAAGGCAUCGACGGGUAGCUGGUCUGAGAGGAUGAUCAGCCACACUGGGACUGAGACACGGCCCAGACUCCUACGGGAGGCAGCAGUGGGGAAUCUUGCGCAAUGGGCGAAAGCCUGACGCAGCAACGCCGCGUGCGGGAAGAAGGCUCUCGGGUUGUAAACCGCUUUCAGCAGGAACGAAAAUGACGGUACUUGCAGAAGAAGGUGCGGCCAACUACGUGCCAGCAGCCGCAGUAACAC